rnacentral:rRNA from 1 species
UACGGAGGGAGCUAGCGUUAUUCGGAAUUACUGGGCGUAAAGCGUACGUAGGCGGCUUUGUAAGUAAGAGGUGAAAGCCCGGAGCUCAACUCCGGAACUGCCUUUUAGACUGCAUCGCUUGAAUCCAGGAGAGGUGAGUGGAAUUCCGAGUGUAGAGGUGAAAUUCGUAGAUAUUCGGAAGAACACCAGUGGCGAAGGCGGCUCACUGGACUGGUAUUGACGCUGAGGUACGAAAGCGUGGGGAGCAAACAGGG